rnacentral:lncRNA from 1 species
CGACCUCUGGCUUGACGACACUCGGCCUCGAGCCGCCUUAUUGCCGCGAUAAAUAUAGAGCCUACUCCUCGAAAGCGUCUACCCACUCUAUUUGGACUUUCUUCUUCCUCGUUGAAUCUCUCCUUCUACUCCAAAUUUUUAAUUUUUUUGCUCUAUAUAUAUUUAUAUAAUAUAUAUAUAUUUUUUUAACUUUUUUAUUCUGCAAAUACAAAAUGAAAAGUUAUGGAAGGUUCACGAUGUUCAACCAGUUUCCACUUGCAAGUAUAAGUGCGCCAAGUCUCUCUUUACCAGGCCCGACAGAGCGUCGUAAUUUCAGCAAGAAUAGAACGAGGUCGUGAACCAGACGUCCAACGAACAAACGUCAGACGAAAAGAGAAAUGGUGAGGAGGUAGAAGAGAGAAAAGCAAAGAUCGAAAGAACGAACAGAAACGGUCAUAUAGGUGGAUGAUGAGUUAGAGGAAGAAAAAGCAAGAGGAAAAGAGAACUGCCGAGAGAGGAACCUUGUUACAAAAUCAUUUCGUCGGCAGUACGAUGGAUCGAUCGUAGCCAUUUUGUAUUCAGACAUCGAAAUACUGAGUUCAAUGAUUAA